rnacentral:rRNA from 1 species
AAUCCGGAUAAUCAAGGCUGAGGUGUGAUGACGAGCACUACGGUGCUGAAGUAACAAAUGCCCUGCUUCCAGGAAAAGCCUCUAAGCAUCAGGUAACAUCAAAUCGUACCCCAAACCGACACAGGUGGUCAGGUAGAGAAUACCAAGGCGCUUGAGAGAACUCGGGUGAAGGAACUAGCAAAAUGGUGCCGUAACUUCGGGAGAAGGCACGCUGGUGUGUAGGUGAAGCCCCUGCGG